rnacentral:rRNA from 1 species
UACGGGGGGGGCAAGCGUUGUUCGGAAUUACUGGGCGUAAAGGGUGCGCAGGCGGCCGAGUGUGUGAGGCGUGAAAGCCCGGGGCUUAACCCCGGAAUUGCACCUCAAACUACACGGCUAGAGCAUUGGAGAGGGUAGCAGAAUUCAUGGUGUAGCAGUGAAAUGCGUAGAUAUCAUGAGGAAUACCAGAGGCGAAGGCGGCUACCUGGACAAUUGCUGACGCUCAGGCACGAAAGCGUGGGGAGCAAAAGGG